UACGGAGGGUGCAAGCGUUAAUCGGAAUUACUGGGCGUAAAGCGUGCGUAGGCGGUUCGUUAAGUCUGUUGUGAAAGCCCCGGGCUCAACCUGGGAAUGGCGAUGGAUACUGGCUCGCUAGAGUGCGGUAGAGGAGAGUGGAAUUCCCGGUGUAGCAGUGAAAUGCGUAGAGAUCGGGAGGAACAUCAGUUGCGAAGGCGGCUCUCUGGACCAGCACUGACACUGAGGCACGAAAGCGUGGGGAGCAAACAGG
rnacentral:rRNA from 1 species